AUGAACGCUGGCGGCGUGCCUAAUACAUGCAAGUCGAGCGAACAGACGAGGAGCUUACUCCUCUGACGUUAGCGGCGGACGGGUGAGUAACACGUGGAUAACCUACCUAUAAGACUGGGAUAACUUCGGGAAACCGGAGCUAAUACCGGAUAACAUGUUGAACCGCAUGGUUCAACAGUGAAAGACGGUCUUGCUGUCACUUAUAGAUGGAUCCGCGUCGCAUUAGCUAGUUGGUAAGGUAACGGCUUACCAAGGCAACGAUGCGUAGCCGACCUGAGAGGGUGAUCGGCCACACUGGAACUGAGACACGGUCCAGACUCCUACGGGAGGCAGCAGUAGGGAAUCUUCCGCAAUGGGCGAAAGCCUGACGGAGCAACGCCGCGUGAGUGAAGAAGGUCUUCGGAUCGUAAAACUCUGUUAUUAGGGAAGAACAAAUGUGUAAGUAACUAUGCACGUCUUGACGGUACCUAAUCAGAAAGCCACGGCUAACCGCGUG
rnacentral:rRNA from 1 species